GGUACGGGCCGUGACUGGCGCUGAGGUGGAGCACCACCGGGGAGCGGCCGCAGAGAACACCGGCAGUCCAUGGGGCUGCCGGAGCCGUGCGCCUGGGCGACCGAC
rnacentral:ncRNA from 2 species